AGUGGCGGACGGGUGAGUAACGCGUGAGUAACCUGCCUUUGAGAGGGGAAUAACAAUCUGAAAAGAUUGCUAAUACCGCAUAACAUAUACGAAUCGCAUGGUUUGUAUAUCAAAGAUUUUAUCGCUCAGAGAUGGACUCGCGUCCGAUUAGUUAGUUGGUGAGGUAACGGCUCACCAAGACCGCGAUCGGUAGCCGGACUGAGAGGUUGAACGGCCACAUUGGGACUGAGACACGGCCCAGACUCCUACGGGAGGCAGCAGUGGGGGAUAUUGCGCAAUGGGGGCAACCCUGACGCAGCAACGCCGCGUGAAGGAUGAAGGUUUUCGGAUUGUAAACUUCUUUUAUUAAGGACGAAUUUUGACGGUACUUAAUGAAUAAGCUCCGGCUAACUACGUGCCAGCAGCCGCGGUAAUACGUAGGGAGCAAGCGUUGUCCGGAUUUACUGGGUGUAAAGGGUGCGUAGGCGGCUUUGCAAGUCAGAUGUGAAAUCUAUGGGCUCAACCCAUAAACUGCAUUUGAAACUGUAGAGCUUGAGUGAAGUAGAGGCAGGCGGAAUUCCCCGUGUAGCGGUGAAAUGCGUAGAGAUGGGGAGGAACACCAGUGGCGAAGGCGGCCUGCUGGGCUUUAACUGACGCUGAGGCACGAAAGCGUGGGUAGCAAACAGGAUUACAUACCCCUGGUAGUCCACGCUGUAAACGAUGAUUACUAUGUGU
rnacentral:rRNA from 1 species